CCAAUCGAAGAUGACGAAUUUGUCGAGUACAUCCUCAUCGGCCUUGAUAUGGAGUACAACCCCGUCAUCACGUCUCUCCUUUCCAGGAAGGACUACGUCUCGGAAAAUGAAGCCUACACACAGCUUCUUGCUUUCGAAA